rnacentral:lncRNA from 1 species
UUUCCAAACAUCACACUCUGGUUGAUAAGGCACCGAUUCAGAUAACACACCACCAGUACGAGCUAGAUCGGCCAGAGACCGCAAACGGUCUAGGUGCCUAGCACGCAGCAAAGGGAGGUCUCAACGGUGAAGCCGACAAACAGGUUCGCCGAUAAAUAGGACAGUGAGGUAAGGCGGAUUAGACGCUCGUUCUUCGCCCGAUAUACCCACAAAUACCUUCCGAGAAGACUCAUCAGGGCGAUGCAGGAUGGGGGUGUUCUAGGAUCGGCAAAACCACCUAGAACGUCCACAAAUCCUGUCAAAGGACAUGUACAAAGGGUGGAAGAGAUAUAAGGAGGGUAAAAAAUGGAUAUAAAUAAAUAUAAUAUAAAUAUAAAUAAAUAAACAAAUAAAUAAAUAUAAAUAAAUUGAUUGUUUAGUUGGAUAUUUCUAUCGAUCGUGUAUCCUUUUUUUAUAUGAAGUAGGGG